rnacentral:rRNA from 1 species
AGUGAACGCUGGCGGUAGGCCUAACACAUGCAAGUCGAACGGCAGCACAGUAAGAGCUUGCUCUUACGGGUGGCGAGUGGCGGACGGGUGAGGAAUACAUCGGAAUCUACUUUUUCGUGGGGGAUAACGUAGGGAAACUUACGCUAAUACCGCAUACGACCUACGGGUGAAAGCAGGGGAUCUUCGGACCUUGCGCGAUUGAAUGAGCCGAUGUCGGAUUAGCUAGUUGGCGGGGUAAAGGCCCACCAAGGCGACGAUCCGUAGCUGGUCUGAGAGGAUGAUCAGCCACACUGGAACUGAGACACGGUCCAUGCUCCUACGGGAGGGAGCAGUGGGGAAUAUUGGACAAUAGGCGCAAGCAUGAUCCAGCCAUACCGCGUGGGUGAAGAAGGCCUUCGGGUUGUAAAGCCCUUUUGUUGGGAAAGAAAAGCAGCAGGUUAAUACCCCGCUGUUCUGACGGUACCCAAAGAAUAAGCACCGGCUAACUUCGUG